CCCGCGCCCCCUGCGCCCCGCGCCCCCGGGCGCUCGCCCGCGGGGCGGGGCGGCGCUGCCGGCCCCCGAGGCCAGGGCGCCCGGACCCCCGGGCCGAGCCGAGCCGCGCGCGCCGCAGCCCGCAGGGGCGCAGAGGCCGAGGUAGGUGGAGGAACUAUUUCUUGACGUAAUCCGUCUCUGUCGGCCCGACGCGCCCGCAGUCUCCGCGCGAGCCGAGACCAGCGAUUGUCAGUUCGGAACGUGGCUCUUAGAAAUGCGUUUUUAAAUACCGCGUAUCUUGGAGCAGUGGAGGGGAGACCGGCACAAGUUCCCUGGGGCGUCCCCAUCCCGUCUUCCUGCUCGCCCUCCUUCGCCCCCCCCAACUCCAUCUCUGCGACACCCCGCGCGCCCCCCCC